UCGAGAAUAUUCGACAAUGGGCGAAAGCCUGAUCGAGCGACGCCGCGUGCAGGAAGAAGUCCCUCGGGAUGUAAACUGCUUUUGCGUGGGAAGAAUUUUGACGGUACCACGAGAAUAAGGGGUUGCUAACUCUGUGCCAGCAGCAGCGGUAAUACAGAGACCCCGAGCGUUAUCCGGAAUUACUGGGCGUAAAGCGCGAGCAGCUGGUUAUAUUAGUCUGAUGUUAAAGCCUCCGGCUCAACUGGAGAAUCGCAUCGGAAACGGUAUAGCUUGAGCAGAUGAGAGGUACGCGGAACGUGCAGUGUAGGGGUGAAAUCCACUGAUAUUGCACGGAACACCAAAAGCGAAGGCAGCGUACUAGCGUCUUGCUGACAGUCAAUCGCGAAAGCGUGGGGAUCAA
rnacentral:rRNA from 1 species